AGGAGCAGGCUCCAGGCUCUGAGCUGUCAGCACAGAGCCCGACAUGGGGCUCGAACUCACCAACCACAGCGAGUGCUUCCAGUCCUUGUACAGCCACAUAGUAAGCACUCCCCAGGGGGACAUCCGGGACUUUUUCAACCAAGCCCCUACUGGAUGGACGUUUGCAUGUUCCCGCCCUUCUCCCAUCGCGGCGUUGAAGUGAGCCGCCUUGCACACGCACACGCGAGGGUGGGACAUACUCCCGGACGUGGAGUUGCUACGGAAAGAGUCAGCGCCCCCUGCUGUCGCCAUCGAGACUGACAGCCCGUCCUCCCGAGACUGCGCAGCCAGACGGAGGUGACCCCUUGUUUUGGAGACGGAAUUCCGGACCCGCGGAUUCACGAGUGCGGGCGUGGAGAGCGGCCCGGGGUUUGGGUUCGGGAGGUGCACACCUGUCACACGAGCGAAAACGGAAAGGAGGUCGCGGAACAAACACCCGCUCACCAGCGUUCACAACGGGCGGAGGGCCAGACUCCCCACAGGCCGUGGCAGGGGGGCGACAAAAUGCCUGUUCGCUCCCCGGGGCACGGGCACGGUGGCAGAGCACGGCUCGGCGAUGCAGGGGGGCGGCGCUGGCGCUACAACCGGCAGGAGCCCCACAAGAGUGGAAGAAGUCCGCCGCAGAAGGCCGCAGUGUCACGGUCUCACGGUUCAUGGGUUCGAGCC